rnacentral:rRNA from 1 species
UACGUAGGGGGCAAGCGUUGUCCGGAUUUAUUGGGCGUAAAGAGCUCGUAGGCGGCUCACUAAGUCGGAUGUGAAAACUCCAGGCUCAACCUGGAGGCGCCAUUCGAUACUGGUGUGGCUUGAGUUCGGUAGGGGAGCACGGAAUUCCUGGUGUAGCGGUGAAAUGCGCAGAUAUCAAGAGGAACACCUGAGGUGAAGACGGGUUGCUGGGCUGACACUGACGCUGAGGCGCGAAAGCUAGGGGAGCAAACGGG